UGUGCCAGAGACUGAGACAAGCCAAACAUUGUUCUGCGUGCACCAGCCCUGCCAGCAGCAGGGAAGUGGGCCAGUGCUCUACAGCGGCACCGUGUGGCAGGGAAAAGCUUUGCCAGCAAGAUCGGAAGCUGAAGAGCAGACAGCAGCGCUCUUGCUCAGAAGUGAUCCCGUAGGCUCCUUUUUGAUUGUACAAAUCUUCAAGAUUCUUGGAAAAAUAGAGAGUGGAGUGCUCGAGGGUAUGAUGCUGGUUGAGUUACCUGUUUAGUUGCUAGAAGCUCUAGACUAUUUGAAAUGAAGUUUGGAGAAAUAAAAGACAUAUCAAGAGACCCUGCACUAAGAGUUGUGGAAAAGUUUAUACUGUUAUGUCCAGAUGGGAAAGUUGAGGCCCACGUAGAAGACUUUCCUAAGUUAAGACAGUGAAGAGUGGCAGAGAUAGCUUCAUACCCAAAUUUCCUUACUCCUAGUUCAGUGCUCUUUCUGUGGAAACAUAAGAUGCUCACUGCAAAAUCUCAAAGGUCUGGAAAGUCUCAAAAUAGAAUUCUUUUCCUCUUUUCUUCCCCAGUACCUCAAUCAUCUUGCUUCUCUUUCUACCUUCCUCCCCUUUGUUUUGUUGCAUCUGAUUCAAGUAGGCUACCCUGGAUCUGGACAGGAAUAGAGAUGGGAAGGAGAAAGGUAAAGAAUAUACCAGGGCAAUCUAGGGAAGUCUGUAGGGCAAAAGUAAAGCAAUGAUGUCAAAGGUGCCAAACUGAUGUAGAGGAACUCAUUUGGUAUAUCCAAGGCCACUACUCAAGUCUGGCCCCACAGGCUUACUUAAAUCAUCAGAGUCAAUUCUUAGUUCAAUACCAAUUUUGUUUACACAGUUCAUACUUCUCCUUUUCAGACAUGGGAGACUAUGUACACGGAGUUAGAUGUGAAUGGCAUGCGAAAUUAUUUCACCCCUAUGGGCCUAAUUCUGUUAUCUAUAAAAUGGAUAUACUGUCUCAUGAGAGUAAGCAAAACAAUAUAAUAGUUAUGCCUCUUACAGGGCCUGACAUAUAGUAGAAACUUAAAUAAUCCUUGGUUUCCUUCUCCUUUUUCAGGGUUACCCUUACUGAAGAGAAGCGCUGAAACAGGAAGAAUCCAGGAAUCAGAAACCCCAGGACUGUAGUUGCACUCUUGCCAGCCCACCUGGGUGCUUGGCGGAUGUCUCAGUACUUGAAAUAGCUAAUUCUGAAAGUCAGAUACUAUGAUAAAGAAACGUGGGAGGAAAAAACCAUUGACCUAUUUUCCGGAGAAAGGAAAUAUUCUGCCAAAACAAAGAUGUUUCCAGAGACUGGAUGCAGAAGAUUCAGAGGUGAACUCCAAUAUAGAACCACUAGAGAGGAGACUGGAUUCCUGGAACACUGCAUAAGACUUUCCUCUAAAUACCCAACUGGACUGCCACUGGGAUUUUGAGGUUGUUUGUUAUAAUGUUUAGCCUCCUCUGCCUAAAAGACUAUGGGAAGCAGAAAAUGAUACAAAAAGUGGUCAGAGGACACCCCUAAUGGUGGAAUGGUAAAGGUCAUUUUUGGUAUGGACAUGCCUAAAGUACCUAAGUCCCCUGAGAAUUUGCCAUAGACUCAUGCAAGACGUAAAAUGAGAUUUUGACUCAUUUUUGUCUAGACGCUAAGGGAGCAGAGAGACUCCAGCUGAUCUCAGGGUUACUGGGACUGAAGGUCUCAAAACAAACCAGCAAUCUCGACGACACUGAAGCAUAAACCUCCCUGAGGGCCUUGCCUGACUCUCAGCCUGGCCCCCAUUUGCCACCAUUCUCUCUGUCUUUCUCUGAUUUUUCAAGACCAUCCAGACCACAAGAAUGCCAUGCUCUAGGGAAUCUUGCCUGUCAAGAAAUUCAGAGGCCCUGCAUCCUUUAGUGAUGGGGUUAGCGUUUGGCUCCAGAUAAGCAAAAUAAGAUGAGAUCUUUGUGGAGCAGGGCAGCCUAUCUGUCGUCUUUGGGAAUGGACCUGCUUGUGAAACAAAAUUGGGUUGUAUGAAAUUCCUGGGAUAGAUACUUGUCUAUUUUCUUAAACUGCAUUUAGAGAAGGUUGAAUUGGCCAUGAUUAACUCCUGAUGAAUCAGUGCCAAUGGACAGUGGAAUGGUUUCUGUUGGAUCAAGUUUCACUUCAGCUCUCAAAGAAUACAUAUUUUUAGAUGUGAAUUUCAGAUUCAAAGUCUCCUUUUGCUAUGAUUUUGGGAGUCUUGCCAGGUGGAUGUGUUAACUUUCCAGACCAGUGGCUGAAAUCUGAACCAUUGUUUUCCUUUGAGAUUGUUUGUCAGACUCUUAAAGUCUUGGGGCAGGGGAUUCCAGAUAUGUCUCCUAUGCUGUUCACAGUUUGUGUGCUCUCACAUCCAGGGUGAUUUAGUUACAGAUUAGAACCCAACACCUUCCUGCCCCUCCACUCCCUCCCUAGGCAUCUCCUAAACCAAGGACAGUGGCAAUUCUCAGAAACCCAGGGUUAGUAUUUUCCAUUUAAUGAACUUCAAGCACUGGGAGAGUACUGAGAGACCGCCUGAUGCAAACUGGUUGCUUAGCAGCUGGGCAAAAUAAUGCCCACAGAGGUGAAGCAAUAUGAAGAAAGUUAUACAGCGAAUCUGAGUCAUAAACAGAAAGUGAAAAAUAGUAGGAUGUUUUUAAUAUACUGUAAUUUUAUUACAGUGCAUUGUAAAAGAGUACAAGUUGAAGUGAAGAAUAAAAAAUUUUAAAAAAGAGUUUGGAAUUAGAAUAUUAAAAAGAAAUCAAUAAAAGAUAUCCUAAAAAGAAGAUUCAUGAAACUCCCUUCUCAAAUAAACAAAAAUGAAAAAUAUUGAAGCAAAUAUAGCAGACUAAGCCAUUCGCCAAAAUUAGGGAAGUCAUAUUCUGAGAGUUGUGAAAAAUGCUUUUCAGAUUCAGAACAAUUUGGACAGUACUGAAAGUAGAUGCCUAGCACAAAUGCCUGACUCCCCUUAGCAACAACAUUGCAGUAGAGCAGGAAAAAAGAGAAAGAAAAGCUGAAAUUUGCUCAUAGUCCAGAUUUAGAAGCACAGGGGUUAAGAUGCAGGUUGUUCCAGGGAACUACCUCCUAUAAAGAACCUUUUCUCCAGUGUUGAUAAAAAUGCACUAUAAAAUCUUGGCUGGAAUUGCUGCCAAUGUUUCCUCUGACCUUUAGCAGGACAGAUGGCAUGAGAGGCAUUGAGGGGUAAUUUCUUAGGAUUCACUGCCUGGGCUGAUCCAGCAGCAGCAAACACAGGCUUAGUAUGGUGUGGAAAUCAAUGCACAGCUAAACUGAUUCAAAAUCAUGUGAGAAAUAGGGACAGCAACAAGGACAGCAUCUUUUAUAACCAGUCACCCUGAGAGAGGAGCACACCCAGAUUCAAAGCUCAGCUUCGUUCCUCCAUGAGACAGGGGAACUGAGUCACCAACAGAGUGGUGCUAUCCUCAGUUACUUCCAAAAAUUACAGAGAAAGAAAGCAAAGACAAAAUUCUUUAAUUGUGGUUAUACAAAACCCCAGCUCCUUGUCCACACCCUUUGGGCACUUCAGUGACUAGGCCAAAGAAAAAAAAAAUUCUGGUGUUCCAGCUCAUAUUCCAAGGAAAAGAUUCAAAUAUUGCUCAAGACAACAGGAAAUCCACGCCGACUCAAGAAAGAAGCAGCUUCAGAUACAAUGGCUCUGUUCAGAGACAAAUGAAAAGAAAUUCCUGCAGUAGGAAACCACAAUAAGAAUUGGAAAAAAUAAACACAUGCACAAAUAGAUGGAACAUUACAUGCAAAAUACAAAUAGAGCAAAAUUUGAAGGAAGAUAUAGUCAAGGAAAUAGAAAAACAUGUUAGCUGCAACUAACUCACAUCCUAAAGAAAAACAUGGACUUUAUGGAAUGAGAGAUAUAUUGAUGAUUACACAACUGAUUAAAACAGAAAGCUGGUAGAAAUGAGGAAAGAUAAGAAGAGUGACAAUAAUAUUCUGUAAAUUUUAAAAUAAAGUAUUAGCUCCCAAAUACCAGAAUUAACACCUGAAAAUAUUAAGUCAGUGGUGUGGAGACAGGAUUGAAAAAUAACAGAAUGAAUAACAAAUAAGAAAAGACAAACAUAUCCACCAAUAUUAUAAUAUGAUAGGGAGAGCAAAACAUGGUAUUUAAAGAAAAGGAGCACUUCAAGUGGAAUAGAAAUAUAAUCUAAGACCUAAGAGAAGAAAACUUCUCGGAUUUGAAGGAAUAACUGACAUUCUAGUUUGAAGGGCUUUCCUUAUAUAAGGAAACUUAAAAGAGAAAAAAAUCCCACCAAACAUAGCCUAAUGAAGCUAUUAGAUUUCAAAGAAAAGGAAAAAAUAUCUCUUCUUAAACUUCAGGAAAGUUGCAUUACUUAAAGGGAAAAGUAAGUCAGGUUGACUUCAGGAUGUCAAAAAAAAAAUUGAACAAGAAACAGAAAUUCUAUAACCAGUUAAGUUACCACCAAUGUGUAAAACUAAUAGAAAGUUAUUCUCAAAUAUUUAAGUCUUGGGAAAUAUUUAACCCAUGUGAGCUUCCAGAAAAAUCUACUUGAAGAUGUAGCUCAGACAACCCCAAGAUUUUUAAGAAUAGUGAAAGUAAAAGUGUUCAAGAAUGAGAAAAUCUGAGUACAAAAGGGCUGAAUUGGGCAUUAAGUAUGAAACAUAAUUAUGCCUAAAAACUGGAGUGAUUAUAGUUAAAAAAUCAUUUGUAAAGAUUAUAGCUUUUUUAAAAAAAAUGUUAAAAUAAAAACAAAAUGACAAUAACAAGAUCUCAAAACUAACUGUCAUAGAUUGGGGAAAAAUUCCCAGAGCAUCUCAUUUUAACAUGAUGGGGGGAGUGCAAUUGAUUAUUAUCAAUAGAUUUGGUUUUGAAAAAUACAAUUUGAUCUCAUUUAUAAAUAUUGAUGUAAAAAUCCAAAAGAAAUUAAAUAUUAACAGUUUGAUUAGCAGAUUAAUUUAUCAAAUAUUUAUUGAGCUUCUAUUAUGUUUUAGGAUCUAGGUAUAUAACAAUAAAUUAACAGACAAAAUUUCUGUCUCUCAUGCAACUUAGAUUUUACACCAUGAUCAAUAGUGGUUUACACUAAGAAAACACACAUGGGUUAGUACUAUGGCAUCUAUGAAUAUAAUUUAGAAUCUUAUCAAGUCAAAAGUGAAAAAAAUACUAUUAUUUUGGUUAGUUGUUGAAAACUUGAUAAAACUCAAAUUUUAUUCUUGAUUAUAAAACAAAACAACAAUAACAACGUCCUUAGUGAAGUAGGCAGAAAGGAUAUGCCAAUUUCUUAUAUAUGCAUAUGUUGAAAAGUGCUUGAUUGGGAAUGAAUAAAAGCAUUCUGAUUAAAGUUGAGAUUAAAACAAAGCCAAGCUGGGAAUAAAACAAAGCUACCUGUUGUGAUACACAGAAUCACUAGUCCCCCAAAGAAGUCUACGUCCUAAUGCCCUAAUUCCCAGAACUUGUAAAUAUGUUAGGUUAUGUAGCAAAUAAUUAAGUUUCCACAUGGAAUUAAGAUUGCCCAUCAGCUGACCUUAAAAUAAGGAGUUUUUCCUGUAUUAUCCAAGUGGGCCUAAUGUAAUUACAAGGGUUCUUAAAAGUGGAAGAGGGAGACAGAGGCAGAGGUGACCACAGAAGAAAGGCAUAAGGAGAUGAAAUGUUGCUGGCUUUGAAGAUGGAGGAAGGGGCCACAGCUAAGGAAUGUGCAUGGUGUCUAGAAACUGGAAAGAACAAGGAAACGUACUCUCCCCCAGAGUCUCCAGAAAGGAAUACAGUCUUGUUGACACCUUGAUUUUAGCCCAGUGAAACAUGUGUUGGACUUGUAACCUCCAGAUCUGUAAUAUCAUAAUUCUGUAUGGUUUAAGGUUUGAUAGAUGGUUAUGGCAGUCGUAGAAAUGAAUACAACAUUAUCUCCACUAUCAUUAUGGAGUGCUGUGAAUAUGAAUAUUGGAAAGAAAACAACAAUAAUUACUUGCAAAUGAUAUGGUUGUAUAGCUGGAAAACUCAAAAUAAUCAAAAAACUAUUAGAAAAGAUCAAGUGUUCAGUCAGGAGGAUCAUUUAUUAAUGUAAAAAUAGCUUUCUUACAUUUCAACAAUAAACUACGCAUUAAUACAAUAAAAUCCCAAUUGUUGUAGCAAAAAGCCAUAAAACAUAUAAAGUAAAUUCAAUAAGAAAUUUCCAAGGUGUGCUUAAAGAAAACUGAUACAUACUAAAAUAAAGGUAUUUCCUUUGUUCUGACAAUAACAGUCUUAAUAUUAUAAAGAGUCUCUUAAAGAAUUAAAUUUAAUAAAAUCCCAAACAAUAUAUCCAUAUCUUGGUAAUGAAAACUUGUCAAAAUUAUUCUAAAAUUCAUCUCUGGAAGAUAAAUAUGCAAGAUUAACUAGAAAGAACAAUACCAUAUAUUUGUUUUUUAAAAAAAAUCUAAAAAGCUAUAUUAAUUAAAAUGGUAUGGUAUUACUUUAGGGCUAGAAAGAUAGUUUAAUUGAUUAUAAUAGAUUAGUUCAGAAGUAGAUUCAAAUAAAUAUGGGAACAUAUUUAUAUGAUAAAAUGGUAUUUCAGAUCAGUGAUGAGAAACAAGGACUAACAAGUAGUAUUAGAAUAAUUUGUUGACCAUUUGGGAAAAGAGUGAAGAUGAAUUAAUACUUUAUGUUUUAUAUAAAAAUUAAUUUCAAUCAGCUCAAAUAUUUAAAUGCAAAAAUUAAAGUCAUGAUUAUUAAAAAAUAGUGAAGCACAUUAUUAUUUUCUUAUGCUUAGGAGGCCAUAGCACAAAACUCAUAAACUAUAAAGGAAGAGAUUGACUAUGGUAAACAUUUCUUGAUGCAAAAAAGUAUUUAAAGUUAUAAUUCUAAAAGUAAACUGUAAAACAUUCUCAAGCAAGAAAAAUACCAAAUAAUCCAAUGGUGACUUGGGUAAAAAUUACAGGCAGCCAUUGAGAAAAUGACAAAUACGAAUGCCCAUCAACAUCUGAAGAGAUCAUUCAACUUAACUCCAGUAAAAUAAAUGCUCACAAAACCUAUGAAAUGAUUUCAUUGUACCACAUCAGAUUGGUAAGAGGGAAAAGAGAGGUAAUAUCCAGAGUUGGCAAAGAUGUAGGGAAAUGAGAAUGUUCAAAUAUAAGUUGAUAGUUAUGAAAGUAUAAUCUACCUGGAUGGCACGAUGUGUAAAGAUUUAAAAUGUACGUGUCCUGUGAUCUCAUGAAUACAAAUUUAUUCUAUAGAGAUAAUUGGAAUAGAAUGCAAGUAUACAGGUAUGUUUGUUAAAGAGUUGUCCCUAGCAGUGAAUUAGUGGAAACAAUGUGAACAUCCACAGAAAGGGGAAAACAGAAGUCUAUGGUGGUGAAUCUAUGCACUGGAGUAUAGAUGAAAUAUAAUAAUAUCGACUUUAUAUAACAGUUUCUCAAAUUUCAUUAAAAUCUAUCUUACCCUUAAAAACAUGCAACUACCUAUAUAUUGUUGGGCAGAAAACAAGAGUCUGAUAUUGAGAAGUCUAGAAAAAUAUUUACCAUUAUCUUGAUGGUGGGUUUUGUUGUUAUUUGUUUAUUCUUCAGUUUUUUACUAUAUUUUGUAUAUCUUUUUGUAAUUUUGCAUUUUCUACAGUGAAAGUGCACUUAUUAUUUUGUAGAGAAAUAAACGCCAAGUUUAGUAAAGUUGGUGAACAUUUUAAAAAGAAAAAAAUCAGAUGCCUCAUUGCAAAGCAAUGAUUCUGUUAAAAUAAUUUUCAGAACAAAACAUUUCAUUUACUAGGAACUCUCUUAACAGGAAAAAUGUUUAAUUUUCUCCAAACAGAUUUCUUGUUAUGCACAAAUUAUAAAGUGGAAACAAUUGCUUCAAGUUAUGAGUUGUACAAAGAAUUAUACUUUGGGCUGUCAAGACUGCUACAUCAUUUAGAAACAUCUCCCCUCUCUCCACCAAAUAUUUCCAUUGGUACCGUGGUUAGAGAGAUCACUUUCUCUGAUGGCCCAGGCAUAAUAAUAGAGUUCGUAGAUUUAAAAAUGUAAUAUAAGGAGCUAUAGUAUUACUGAACUGAAACAAAACUUAUUUCCAUUAACUUCAUUUUAUAGCUACAGAAAAUCAGGUGCAGAAGCGACUUGAGCAGAAUCAAACAGCAAGUCAAUGACAGCCUUGAGAUCUGUCCAGCACUGAUGAUUGGCUAGUUAUUCUCUAACGUGUCUCUCCCACAGUGUCUGUGGAGUUGCUUAAGGGGCCUCAUGGGUAGAUAUGGGCCCAUGUAGAUGAUUCAGAGAAGUUCUGUCUUAGUCUAUUUGAUAUAUGAGGCUUCUAGCAGUGUUUGAAAAUCAGCCUAUUAGGUCAUAAUAUUCCUUCUCUGCAAUUUGCCUGAUGAGUAUAAACCAACACCCCUGGUGAUCCAGCCCAGGGCACUGAGAUUUAUUGUCACCAUUUGUCCACAGCCUGAGUUUCUCUAAAUCCAGCCUAAGACCAUUGGCUGUGACCAGGUGAUUAAAUGUCCCUGUUAGUCUUUUCUAAUUAUUGAGGAGAUUCCACGUCUGGAUAUGGUUCUGCUCAGAGACCUUUAGAAAGUAUAUCUUGUGGAUAUACAUGUGUUUUAUACCUGAGCAAAUGACUGUACUCAAAGCAGCUGAGAGGAGAAUUAGUGCAGGCAACAGAACCUGUACAAAGUUACUGCUGUGGCUCAUAUUUUUGUUGAGGUCAUCGAUGAAGUCAUGGAUGUCAUGCUGCUCAAUCUGUGGGUACCUUAAAGCUGAAAGUGAUAGUGACUACCUUGCUUAAACAAGAAGCAAGAGUCAAAAGGAUCCGAACAAUAUGGAUAAAGGGCAUGAACUACUCUCUCUGCAAUGUUGUCCAAAAAUGCUGCUUUGGAAGGUAGCAAAGUUCUCAUUACUGGAAGCACUAAAUCAGAUGCUAUUUGUCACUUGUAAGGGGUGCUGGAGAAAUUCUGCAAUGUCUACUGUCUUUCCUAACUGAUAUUCUAGUCUAGUGUGCACAAUUCCCUUUAAGAAUUAGGAUUAAUGGAUUCUUUGUUAAUAUAAGAUGUUCUCCCUUGUUGCUCAACAAGGAACCGAGAGGAAGAGCGUCAAUAAGAUAUUGUAACCGAAGGUAUUAGAUUGAUCGAAAGAAGACUUUCAAGGGCUUUGCAACUACUGCCUGGUGGGUAGAUUCAUGCCAAAGCCCCUUGUUUGAUAGUAAGACCCCAGGCUGGUGGUGGAGUUAUAGACCUAAGUAGGCAGGGAAGAAAGGUCUUCUGAAAAGGCAGAGAAUCAGAGAAAUGCAUGGCCAGGGGACUAUGACAACCAGGGUGGCUUCAGUCCAGCUCGUCAUCUCCCCACUACUCACAAAAGGCAUCUCUAGACCUCUUAAAAAUUGCCCAUAAGGAAGGCAGCCAUCAUAUGUAUUUUGCAAAUCAGUGAAGAUGGACAUAUAGAAGGCAGGAUUUACAAUUAUUGAGCCUUGAUUAUAUGCUGCGUACUAUAUUAUUAAUACGUGCAGUGGACUAAAUGUGUCCCCCACUAAUUCAUAUGUUGAAGUCCUAACCCCCAAGGUGAUGAUAUUAGGGGGCGGGGCCUUUGGGAGGUGAUUACAUCAUGUAGAUGGAACCCUCAUGAGUGGGAUUCAUGCCCUCAUUAAAGAGACUACAGAGAGCUCUCUCACUCUCUCUGCUGUAUAAGGAUACAAUGAGAGAUGACAGUCUGUAACCCAGAAGAGGGCCCUCACUAGAACUCAACCAUGUUGGCUCCCUGAUCUCAGACUUCCAGCCUCUAGAACUGUGAGAAAUAAAUGUUUCUUGUUUAAAACACCCAGUCUGUGAUACCUUGUUUUAGCAGCCUGAAUGAACUAAGAUAGUAGGUAUGUCCUCUCAUCUAACCUGUGUCUUAGUCCUUUCAGGUGACUAUUUUAAAAAAUACCAUAGACGGGGUGACUUAAACAACAAAUAUUUGUUUUUCACAGUCCUGGAGUCUGGGAAGUCCAAGAUCAAGGCUUCAGCAGAUUCAGUGUCUGGUGAGGGCACACUUCUGGCUCAUAGAUGGUCAUCCUCUUGCUGUGUUCUCAUGUGGCAGAAAGAAUGAGGGGUCUAAGGUCUCUUUCAUAAGGGCACUAACACCACUCAAGAGAGCUUCACACUAUUAACCUAAUCACCUCUCAAAGGCACCCCUUCCUAACACCGUCACAUUGGGAGUUAUAAUUUCAACACCUCAAUUUUCUGGGGGACACAGACAUUCAGUCCAUAAUAACCUCCUAUAUUUCUAUCCCCAUUUGAUAUAUAAGAAAACUGAGACUCAGGAAAGUAAAGUGAAAUUCCUGAAACCUACAGAGUAGAAAUGGCCUAGCUUAGAUCCUGGUUCAUUUGAUUUUUGAUCUACAAUCAAAGGUUACUCAGACUCAAGUUUCUCAUACGGAAAUCAUUGUGAGGCUCCACAGCACAGAGUACAGUGAAGGGAACGCAUCAAAGCCUCAUACUGUCUUAUAAAAUGUCAGAAGCAUCAAAGGAGAAUUUAGUCCAGGAGUCCAAAUCUCAAAUAUCUACACAGUUCAGGCAAGUAACAUUGACUAGAGAAGUGCACUCAAGGUAGCACGAUAGGAAGUGGUGGGCGUCGGGAUGAACUGGAGAGGAUGCACUCCAUGAUAGAGAGCUGCUGUUGCUCAGCCCAAACCAACAACAAAACAGAACAUGUGCAGGCUACCUGUGUCCCCUGGGCCACCAGUUCUCAGCCUGUUAUUUUGGUUCAUUCACACUGCUUUUAGGCCCUUCCCAUGUUUCCUCCAGUUUGAUUCUCAUAAUUCCACGAGGUAGUAGUAUGCUGCCAUUUUAUUAAUGAAAACAAAUGGAGCUGGGGCAGAUUAAGUGACUUGCCUAGGAUUUCCUGCUGGGCUGAUGGCCUGGUGAAGAUAAUCACAUCCUCCCUCCCCUGCAUGCCAUCAGCACUUUAAAAAAAGACUGUGAGAGGUUCAUAGAUAAUCACCUACUGUGUAUCAAGCCGCAUAUGUCAUCAGUGUGUUGACUGGAAUUCAUGUUUCAUCAUCCUCCAUUCAUUUGCAGCAUAGAAACUAUCAGGGCCAGCACCUUCUGGAAGAGGCUUGAAGAGAAGCAAAGGUGGAGAUGCACACUCUAGUUGGGAGUUCUGGGAACUUUAGGAGUCUCAGAGAUAGCAUCUUUAAUUCAUGCCAGCUCUUAAAGCUGGACUUUAUGGUCAUUGUUCAAAACUAGAGCUUGUCAUUUCUGUUUUUAUUUUUAUCUGGGGUAAGCAAACUGUAGUCUGUGGGCCAAAUCCAGCCCUUGUCCUUUUUGUUGUUGUUGUUGUAAAUAAAGGGUGCAGCCACAUUCAUUCAUUUGCAUAUGAGUGCUUUCAAACUACAAUACUACAAUGACAGAAUUUUAUAAUCAUGAUGGAAAUACAUGAUCUCCAAAGCCUAAAAUAUUUACUAUCUGUAAUAUUAACUAUCUGCAAGACUUUAUAGAAAACAUUUGC
rnacentral:lncRNA from 10 species